rnacentral:rRNA from 1 species
GACGGAGGAUGCAAGUGUUAUCCGGAAUCACUGGGCGUAAAGCGUCUGUAGGUGGUUUAAAAAGUCUACUGUUAAAGCUUGAAGCUUAACUUCAAAAAUGCCGUAGAAACUUUUAAACUUGAGUAUGGUAGGGGUAGAGGGAAUUUCCAGUGGAGCGGUGAAAUGCGUAGAUCUUGGAAAGACCACCAAUGGCGAAGGCACUCUACUGGGCCAUAACUGACACUAAGAGACGAAAGCUAGGGGAGCGAAUGGG